rnacentral:misc_RNA from 1 species
AACGCACGAGACCUGCGGACCUGCGGAAGGAUCAUUACCGAGUUAUACAACUCCCAAACCCACUGUGAACCUUACCUCAGUUGCCUCGGCGGGAACGCCCCGGCCGCCUGCCCCCGCGCCGGCGCCGGACCCAGGCGCCCGCCGCAGGGACCCCAAACUCUCUUGCAUUACGCCCAGCGGGCGGAAUUUCUUCUCUGAGUUGCACAAGCAAAAACAAAUGAAUCAAAACUUUCAGCAAUG